UUAACUAAAGCCAAAAUAGAGGCAUAUCACUGUUAAUGAUAUAACUGAAGCUGACUUCUAGUUAAG
rnacentral:tRNA from 1 species